rnacentral:rRNA from 1 species
AUUGAACGCUGGCGGCAGGCCUAACACAUGCAAGUCGAGCGCGCGGCGGGCAGGUGAGUAAUGUCUGUGGAACUGCGUGUUAGGGGGGGGUAACAACUGGGAAAGGUAGCUAAUACCGCAUACUAUCCGAUUAGCCCAAAUGGGAUUAGCUAGUGGGUGGGGUAAAGGCCUACCUAGGCGACGAUCCCUAGCUGGUCUGAGAGGAUGAUCAGCCACACUGGAACUGAGACACGGCCCAGACUCCUACGGGAGGCAGCAGUGGGGAAUAUUGCACAAUGGGCGCAAGCCUGAUGCAGCCAUGCCGCGUGUAUGAAGAAGGCCUUCGGGUUGUAAAGUACGUUCAGUGGGGAGGCGUUACCCACAGAAGAAGCACCGGCUAACUCCGUGCCAGCAGCCGCGGUAAUUC